rnacentral:rRNA from 1 species
CCUACGGGAGGCAGCAGUGGGGAAUAUUGCACAAUGGAGGGAACUCUGAUGCAGCGACGCCGCGUGAGUGAAGAAGUCAUUCGUUAUGUUAAGCUCUAUCAGCCGGGAAGCAAGUGCCGGUACCUGCAAAAGAUGCUCCGGCUAAAUACGUGCCAGCAGCCGCGGUAAUACGUAUGGAGCCAGCGUUAUCCGGAUUUACUGGGGGUAAAGGGAGAGUAAGUGGCAGAGCAAGUCCGAAGUGAAAACCCAAAGCACAACUCUGGGAAUGCUUUAGAAACUGCUCAGCUAGAGUGCAGGAGAGGCAAGUGGAAUGCUUAGUGUAGCGGUGAAAUGUGUAGAUAUUAGGCGGAACACCAGUGGCGAAGGCGGCUUGCUGGACUGUAACUGACACUGAGGCUCGAAAGCGUGGGGAGCAAACAGGAUUAGAUACCCCGGUAGUC